rnacentral:rRNA from 1 species
AGUCGAGCGAUGAACACCUUCGGGUGUGAAUUAGCGGCGAACGGGUGAGGAACACGUGAAGAAUCUGCCUUCAACUCUGGGAUAACUCCGGGAAACCGGGGCUAAUACCGGAUAUGAGCCUCGAUCGCAUGAUUGGGGCUGGAAAGUUUUUCGGUUGAAGAUGACUUCGCGGCCUAUCAGCUUGUUGGUGAGGUAAUGGCUCACCAAGGCGACGACGGGUAGCCGGCCUGAGAGGGCGACCGGCCACACUGGGACUGAGACACGGCCCAGACUCCUACGGGAGGCAGCAGUGGGGAAUAUUGGGCAAUGGAGGAAACUCUGACCCAGCGACGCCGCGUGAGGGAUGAAGGCCUUCGGGUUGUAAACCUCUUUCAGUAGGGAAGAAGCGAAAGUGACGGUACCUACAGAAGAAGCACCGGCUAACUAUGUGCCAGCAGCCGCGGUAAUACAUAGGGUGCAAGCGUUGUCCGGAAUUAUUGGGCGUAAAGAGCUCGUAGGUGGUUCGAUACGUCGGAUGUGAAAAUCAGGGGCUCAACCCCUGACCUGCAUCCGAUACGGUCGAGCUAGAGUUUGGUAGGGGAGACUGGAAUUCCUGGUGUAGCGGUGGAAUGCGCAGAUAUCAGGAGGAACACCGAUGGCGAAGGCAGGUCUCUGGGCCAAUACUGACACUGAGGAGCGAAAGCGUGGGGAGCGAACAGGAUUAGAUACCCUGGUAGUCCACGCCGUAAACGGUGGGCGCUAGUUGUGCGAACCUUCCACGGUUUGUGCGACGCAGCUAACGCAUUAAGCGCCCCGCCUGGGGAGUACGAUCG